CCAGCAAAUAAGGAAAAUUCCAUAAGGACAAUGGAAAUGUUUGAAUAUAUUUGUAAAAAAUAAAUAUUUCAUCAGUUCAGGUCUGACAAGAGUCCUAAAGGAUAUUGAUUGGUUACACGCUGCACGAUUGCAUCAAGCAUUGUUAAAAUGGGAAGAAGAAAAAAGCUAAAAUACCUUUCGUGUCCUAAAUACAUACACUCCUGAUCGAUUAAAGGAAUGAGUUCUAUCUCAAAUUCAUAUUUCAUAGUUAGAAUUUUGCAAUUAGAAAGUUGUCCUGAGCCCUGUCUCUUUUAUGAAACCUAUCGUGCAUUUGAAUUCCGUCUAUCAAACACCAGCAAAAAGCCACCAGAUGAUGAAUCUACCAGCUGGGAGAGUGGAUUCAGCAGACAAUCUGGGCAGCAACAAACAUUCCAGAAAGAGACUUCUGUAGAGCAGGCAGAGCUAUGUUUGGAGGAAUCAAAGAGCAGCAGCUGUUGGGGGCUUCUGUAAGGGAUUGCCAAGGAGUAAGUGGUGUUGGCUCCCUGGUGGAGGCAGG
rnacentral:lncRNA from 1 species